rnacentral:rRNA from 1 species
CCUACGGGAGGCUGCAGUAGGGAAUCUUCCACAAUGGGCGAAAGCCUGAUGGAGCAACGCCGCGUGGGUGAAGAAGGUCUUCGGAUCGUAAAACCCUGUUGUUAGGGAAGAAAGUGCGUGAGAGUAACUGUUCACGUUUCGACGGUAUCUAACCAGAAAGCCACGGCUAACUACGUGCCAGCAGCCGCGGUAAUACGUAGGUGGCAAGCGUUAUCCGGAUUUAUUGGGCGUAAAGGGAACGCAGGCGGUCUUUUAAGUCUGAUGUGAAAGCCUUCGGCUUAACCGGAGUAGUGCAUUGGAAACUGGGAGACUGGAGUGCAGAAGAGGAGAGUGGAACUCCAUGUGUAGCGGUGAAAUGCGUAGAUAUAUGGAAGAACACCAGUGGCGAAAGCGGCUCUCUGGUCUGUAACUGACGCUGAGGUUCGAAAGCGUGGGUAGCAAACAGGAUUAGAUACCCGUGUAGUC